UGAAACCAUGGCUUCCCUCCCUGGCGUCAGGAGAGGAGCACUGAAAAGGAAAUCCUCAUCACUGUGGUCUGAAGGUGUAUUAACCCUCCAUCGCCGUGACAAAACUAUUCGAGAAGAGGAACAGAUUCUUUGGGAUCAUGGUUUCCUGAGGUUCAUUGUGUGACCACCUAUCCUGCCUGCUUUUCGGCCUGUGUCUGAGGUCACACAUCAUGGCAGAAGUGUGGGAUGGAGUAAAGCUGUACACCUCCCAGCACCCAGGAAGCCAAAGAGGACCUCAUAUUUUGUUGUAUAAAGCCCAUCUUCCCAAACUCAUUCAGCCAUGAGCCCAUAAAUAGAUGAAUUCACCCA
ensembl:lincRNA Gm43838 predicted gene 43838